GUUAACUUGUCUAGAAUGAUCUUUCGGACCCCUUUGUCAUCUUUCAUUGUGGAAUCUGAGGCUGUAAUCCCUUACUUUGCUCUGUAAACCUGGUAGAACCUCCCAGAACACUUGCUCCAGGGCCAGCUUGCUAGACUAAAGGUGUUGGAAGGGAGGAUCCAGCUACAUGUACAGCCUCAUGUUUUAACAGAAGCAGAAGGUGUAUGGGAACCGUCACCCAUCCCUCCCUACCACCCCUGUCCCCCAGUACUGUCUGGCUCAAAUUCUUCAUGGUAGGUGGUCAGCUCACUGGAAAGUAGGCGUGGUGUAUCUACAGGUCUGUUCUCAGAAACUUGUGAGACUUCCCCAGCAAUGCCUCAAGAAGCCACCAGCUUCCCAGGAUCACCUUAUAGGACAAGGAAGGCAUAACAAAGACAAGUGUCCAAGCUCAUGUAGCCAAGGAGAAGGUUCAGGACCUUAAUGAUGGAAGAUUCGAGACCUCUCAUUCCUGAGCCCGUGGUUUCCAUCACUCUUUUUGAGAAGUGAUCACGGUGUGGAGAAUGUCUACUGAUUUACGAUUCUCAUCACCCGAAUGUGUGGCCAGUGAGGCCAUCUCACAUGACCAAGCAGUCAUCGUGAAAGAUACUGCUCAAAGCCUGGACACGCUUUCCUGGACAUUGGGCUUUUCCCUGGCUCUCCAGUGAUCGGCCUCUUUCCACCAUGUACCUGCUUGCGAAACUCCAUUCCUAGACCUGCAGGCUUCCUUAGACCCUAACUGAAAAGGUGUGGCUUUCUGUGUCCUCCAUCCACUGCCUUCAAGCAUCUGCCAAUAUUUACAGCUCAUCUACCCUAUUGUUUUUCUCUCAGAUUUUAAUGAAAAUUCUUUCACUAACAAGGGUAAGAACUAAAAGAGUAAAA